rnacentral:rRNA from 1 species
UACGUAGGGGGCUAGCGUUGUCCGGAAUCAUUGGGCGUAAAGCGCGUGUAGGCGGCCCGGUAAGUCCGCUGUGAAAGUCGGGGGCUCAACCCUCGGAUGCCGGUGGAGUACUGUCGGCUCGAGUACGGAAGAGGCGAGUGGAAUCCCUGGUGUAGCGGUGAAAUGCGCAGAUAUCAGGAGGAACACCGAUUGCGAAGGCAGCUCGCUGGGACGUUACUGACGCUGAGACGCGAAAGCGUGGGGAGCAAACGGG